CGGCGCUGUGACCGCUAUGUCACGUGUUUCCGGUGUCAUGGCGCAGGCGGUUAAUGUCUCUGAGCUCCCCCUCCAGCAGCUGGAGGCGCUCAGGAGCCAAUUGGAGCAGGAGACCGACUUUUUAACUUCCUCCAUCCAGCAGCUGAAAC